rnacentral:rRNA from 1 species
GGGACACGUGGUAUCCUGUCUGAAUAUGGGGGGACCAUCCUCCAAGGCUAAAUACUCCUGACUGACCGAUAGUGAACCAGUACCGUGAGGGAAAGGCGAAAAGAACCCCGGCGAGGGGAGUGAAAAAGAACCUGAAACCGUGUACGUACAAGCAGUGGGAGCACGCUUAGGCGUGUGACUGCGUACCUUUUGUAUAAUGGGUCAGCGACUUAUAUUCUGUAGCAAGGUUAACCGAAUAGGGGAGCCGAAGGGAAACCGAGUCUUAACUGGGCGUUAAGUUGCAGGGUAUAGACCCGAAACCCGGUGAUCUAGCCAUGGGCAGGUUGAAGGUUGGGUAACACUAACUGGAGGACCGAACCGACUAAUGUUGAAAAAUUAGCGGAUGACUUGUGGCUGGGGGUGAAAGGCCAAUCAAACCGGGAGAUAGCUGGUUCUCCCCGAAAGCUAUUUAGGUAGCGCCUCGUGAAUUCAUCUCCGGGGGUAGAGCACUGUUUCGGCAAGGGGGUCAUCCCGACUUACCAACCCGAUGCAAACUGCGAAUACCGGAGAAUGUUAUCACGGGAGACACACGGCGGGUGCUAACGUCCGUCGUGAAGAGGGAAACAACCCAGACCGCCAGCUAAGGUCCCAAAGUCAUGGUUAAGUGGGAAACGAUGUGGGAAGGCCCAGACAGCCAGGAUGUUGGCUUAGAAGCAGCCAUCAUUUAAAGAAAGCGUAAUAGCUCACUGGUCGAGUCGGCCUGCGCGGAAGAUGUAACGGGGCUAAACCAUGCACCGAAGCUGCGGCAGCGACACUAUGUGUUGUUGGGUAGGGGAGCGUUCUGUAAGCCUGUGAAGGUGUGCUGUGAGGCAUGCUGGAGGUAUCAGAAGUGCGAAUGCUGACAUAAGUAACGAUAAAGCGGGUGAAAAGCCCGCUCGCCGGAAGACCAAGGGUUCCUGUCCAACGUUAAUCGGGGCAGGGUGAGUCGACCCCUAAGGCGAGGCCGAAAGGCGUAGUCGAUGGGAAACAGGUUAAUAUUCCUGUACUUGGUGUUACUGCGAAGGGGGGACGGAGAAGGCUAUGUUGGCCGGGCGACGGUUGUCCCGGUUUAAGCGUGUAGGCUGGUUUUCCAGGCAAAUCCGGAAAAUCAAGGCUGAGGCGUGAUGACGAGGCACUACGGUGCUGAAGCAACAAAUGCCCUGCUUCCAGGAAAAGCCUCUAAGCAUCAGGUAACAUCAAAUCGUACCCCAAACCGACACAGGUGGUCAGGUAGAGAAUACCAAGGCGCUUGAGAGAACUCGGGUGAAGGAACUAGGCAAAAUGGUGCCGUAACUUCGGGAGAAGGCACGCUGAUAUGUAGGUGAAGUCCCUCGCGGAUGG